rnacentral:rRNA from 1 species
UACGAAGGGUGCAAGCGUUAUUCGGAAUUAUUGGGCGUAAAGCGCGCGCAGGCGGAUUGAUAAGUCAGGUGUGAAAUCUCGAGGCUCAACCUCGAAACUGCGCCUGAAACUAUUAGUCUAGAGUGUUGGAGGGGGUAGGGGAAUUUCACGUGUAGGGGUAAAAUCCGUAGAGAUGUGAAGGAACACCGGAGGCGAAGGCGCCUACCUGGACAACUACUGACGCUGAGGCGCGAAAGCGUGGGGAGCAAACAGG